UACGUAGGGUGCAAGCGUUGUCCGGAAUUAUUGGGCGGUAAAGAGCUCGUAGGCGGUUUGUCGCGUCUGCUGUGAAAACUCGGGGCUUAACUCCGGGCCUGCAGUGGGUACGGGCAGACUAGAGUGCGGUAGGGGAGACUGGAAUUCCUGGUGUAGCGGUGAAAUGCGCAGAUAUCAGGAGGAACACCGGUGGCGAAGGCGGGUCUCUGGGCCGUAACUGACGCUGAGGAGCGAAAGCGUGGGGAGCGAACAGG
rnacentral:rRNA from 1 species